AGCUUUUACAAGGUAUCAGCACUUUUCUUUCAUUAGGGAGAAGGAGUGAAGAAAGUACCAAAGAGCGGCAGACUUUUAAACUUUAAAUAGCCAGGUCCGAGUGCCUGGACUCGCGUUUUCAUUUUACUUCAUCCUCUAAGGAGUUCAGUCACUUGGCGAGCGUACUUCAUUUCUUUUGAGAAAAAGAGUAAGUUAAAAAA
rnacentral:other from 1 species